GCCCUGGUGGCGAAUGGUAUCGCGCCCGCAUUGAAAUGUCGAGCGGGAGAAGCUGGUUCGAAUCCAGCGCAGGGCA